GUGGGUAUAGCUCAGUUGGUAGAGCACCAGAUUGUGGUUCUGGGGGUCGCCGGUUCAAGCCCGGUUACCCACC
rnacentral:tRNA from 1 species